GGGUAGAGGAAGGCGAGGAAGCCUCUCAUUUCGGCAGUCCGUUGAAAGACAAAAGUUAAAUCGGUCAUUUCAAGCAUGCAGGAAGGUCUGGGCCAGCAGAGGAGGCUCACAUAGUCUGAGUCGCUGGGGACGGCCAAUCGCCUCCCCCCAUCUGCAGGAGCCCGGCCCAGUGUCAUUCCAGAGGACGAACGGCUCGCUAAUUAAAAAUAUAAUGAAUAUUUAA